rnacentral:rRNA from 1 species
GAUUCUGGCUCAGGAUGAACGCUAGCUACAGGCUUAACACAUGCAAGUCGAGGGGCAGCAUGGUCUUAGCUUGCUAAGGCCGAUGGCGACCGGCGCACGGGUGAGUAACGCGUAUCCAACCUACCUUACACUCCUGGACAGCCUUCUGAAAGGGAGAUUAAUACAAGAUGUUAUCAUGGGUAAGCAUUUUCGCAUGAUUAAAGGUUUACCGGUGUAAGAUGGGGAUGCGUUCCAUUAG